rnacentral:rRNA from 1 species
GCCUAACACAUGCAAGUCGAGCGCGAAAAGUUUUCGGACUUAGUAAAGCGGCGGACGGGUGAGUAACGCGUGGGAAUCUGCCUGGUAGUGGGGGACAACAGUCGGAAACGACUGCUAAUACCGCAUAAGCCUGAGAAGGGAAAGUCGAAAGACGCUGAGAGAGGAGCCCGCGGCCGAUUAGCUAGUUGGUGAGGUAAGAGCCCACCAAGGCAGAGAUCGGUAGCCGGCCUGAGAGGGCACACGGCCACACUGGCACUGAAACACGGGCCAGACUCCUACGGGAGGCAGCAGUGGGGAAUCUUGCACAAUGGGGGCAACCCUGAUGCAGCGACGCCGCGUGAGCGAUGAAGCCCUUCGGGGUGUAAAGCUCUUUCGGCAGGGAAGAUAGUGACGGUACCUGCAGAAGCAGCUGCGGCUAACUACGUGCCAGCAGCCGCGGUAAUACGUAGGCAGCAAGCGUUGUUCGGAGUUACUGGGCGUAAAGGGUGUGUAGGCGGUUCUUUAAGUUUGGUGUGAAAUCUCCCGGCUCAACCGGGAGGGUGCGCCGAAUACUGAGGGACUAGAGUGUGGGAGAGGAAAGUGGAAUUCCUGGUGUAGCGGUGAAAUGCGUAGAUAUCAGGAGGAACACCGGUGGUGUAGACGGCUUUCUGGACCAUAACUGACGCUGAGACACGAAAGCGUGGGUAGCAAACAGGAUUAGAUACCCUGGUAGUCCACGCCCUAAACGAUGCAUAUUUGGUGUGGGUCAUUCAGUUGAUCCGUGCCGGAGCUAACGCGUUAAAUAUGCCGCCUGGGGAGUACAGUCGCAAGGCUGAAACUCAAAGGAAUUGACGGGGGCCCGCACAAGCGGUGGAGCAUGUGGUUCAAUUCGACGCAACGCGAAGAACCUUACCUGGGCUCGAACGGCUUCUCAACGCCGGUAGAAAUACCGGUAUCCCGCAAGGGAGUGGAGUCGAGGUGCUGCAUGGCUGUCGUCAGCUCGUGUCGUGAGAUGUUGGGUUAAGUCCCGCAACGAGCGCAACCCUUGUCCUGUGUUGCCAUCAUUCAGUUGGGCACUCGCAGGAGACCGCCAGCGAUAAGCUGGAGGAAGGUGGGGAUGACGUCAAGUCCUCAUGGCCUUUAUGUCCAGGGCUACACACGUGCUACAAUGGACGGUACAAACCGCAGCAAACCCGCGAGGGGGAGCCAAUCGGAAAAAACCGUUCUCAGUUCGGAUUGCAGGCUGCAACUCGCCUGCAUGAAGCUGGAAUCGCUAGUAAACGCAGAUCAGCUACGCUGCGUUGAAUACGUUCCCGGGCCUUGUACACACCGCCCGUCACGUCACCUGAGUUUAGUGUACCCGAAGUCGCCCGUGCAACCGCAAGGAGCAAGGCGCCUAAGGUGUGCUAGGUAAGGGGGACGAAGUCGUAACAAGGUAGCCGUAUCGGAAGGUGCGGCUGGAUCACCUCCU